rnacentral:tRNA from 1 species
UCCAAGGCUCAGUGGUAGAGCAUCUCCUUGGUAUGCAGAAGGUUACAGGCUCAAUCUCUGGUUGAAGAA